AUGUGUGUAUUCUUAGGACUCUGCCUCUGGAGAAAGGGCAUCCAUUCGGGGUGCUUGUGUCUGCCCUCCCUUCGCAGCUGUGAGCGUCUUGCUCAGUUGACACGAGCUGUGCGCCCUCCGGUUCCCACCACGGCAAGCCAUCCUUUCUCCCUUCGGAGGCGAGCGAAAAGGAGCAGAAUUCCGGCUCCACCAUCCCUGGUGACGAGCGGGCAGGGAGACUGUUCUCCUGAACCACGACCACCUCGUCACGGGUUGCCUCGCCCUCCCGUCACGGCUGGGCCAGCAGAGGCCAGGCGCCCUGAGUCCCCUCUCCUGGAUCCUCGGAGCGGGACGCUCCUCCAGGAAAGGACUUCCUCUCCCCACCGGCUGCGGGGACUGGGCGGCUGGCUGAUGGCUCGGCCCCACUGACGGAGCUUUUCCAGUUUUGGAAAGUGGCGUGUGCCUCCUUGCCCGGGCAGACGGUAAUUUAUGCUGCGAAUUCAGGCCUGGGCGUGACAACUCAGUCCUUUCAGGCCCCUGAAAACCUGCCUGGGGGCAGCUCCAGCCGCCAGCAGCACUGCCUCUGACCUGCCCUCGCCCACCGCCCUCGGCUCCCUGUCCCUGCCCGCCUCUCCCUCCAGGCCCCCACCUGCAGCCGCGCCAGCUGACACUGUCGCCUGCCAGCACAGGGACGCGGCAACACCUUCUGCAGAGUUUUGGGCCAGAGCUGGACUCCUCUGAGCCCUUAACAAGCAGCCUGCUCCGUAACAAACCACAGGACAAAUAUACUCGCUCCAAUGUGGCAGCCUGAGCUACUUAUUUUGCUUGAUUUAUGGGGAGUGAGACCCAAGGAUGCCGUGGGGCUUUUCAGACAUUGCUAAGUGUACGCUGACGCCCAGCGGGGUUGGGAAGGGGCUCAGUCUCCCAUACUCCAGCCGGGGCACAGGGCCUGGCAGCUGCGGGGAUGGAACGACGUGGGAAAGGGGGCAGGGAGGACCCCCCAGCCCGGGCUGGCUCCAGCCUGUGCCCACCGCCCGUCGGUCCCCAGCAGGACUCAGGCCCAGGGGAUCACUGGCGCUUCUCUGAAGUGUGAGCCCACCGGGCAGCGCACCCAGGAGAACUGGCCGUGUUCUCCAUCUGCUCCAUGCAGCGCGGCCUUUGCACACAGAGCACUUGAAGUGUGGUUCUUGAAAAUGCAUGACUACAGUUUAUUUAUUGCUGUGGUUUAGUCGCUCAGUCGUGUCCAGCUCUUUGCAACCCCAUGGACUGUAGCCCUCCAGGUUCCUCUGUCCAUGGGAUUUCCCAGGCAAGAAUACUGGAGUGGGUUGCCAUUUAGUGGGUUGCCAUUUCCUUCUCCAGGGAAUCUUCCCGACCCACGGCUCAAACCCACACAACCAGCAUUGGCGCCAGAUUCUUUACCGCUGAGCCA
rnacentral:lncRNA from 1 species